CCAAUACCGGGGGCGUCCCAGUUGGACUUGUCCAAUUGGUUCGUUGCCGGCUACAGCGGGGGAGACAUAUAUCACAGCGUGUCUCGUGCCCGGUCCCGCUGGUUCAUAGGUUGCCUACUCCUACUUAGCGUAGGGGUAGGCAUCUACCUGCUCCCCAACCGAUGAGCGGGGAGCCC
rfam:Hepatitis C virus gene for polyprotein, genomic RNA, isolate Equatorial Guinea